UAUUUGUGAAUAACAAACACCAAAACAUAUCUAAAUAGAAAAAAAAAAACACAUACAAGAACAAACCAAUAAGAAACAGGAAGAGCAAGAACAUAAUAAAACGAAUAAAAAAAAAGGCAAAAGUCCUUCACUUUCUAAGAAUCAAAGGAUCCAAAAAUUCAAAACCAUCUGAUCGAGGAAGGCGAGCUAGACAAGGUAGUGUAUCUGACGUCUCCAGGUCAGUGUAGAUCGAGCGGCGAGGGAGGCCGGACGCACGCUCGUAGUCGGCCAUUGUGUCUCGAAGAAACAAAGAAAAUAUACGAAACAAGAAAUCACAGACUCAGAAGUACGUAAGAAAAAAACAAAAAGCAAAAAGAAAAGAAAAGAAUUAUAAGCCUUAACAACGAGGGACAUAAGAGCGACAGAGAGAUAAGAACAGUGUUAAUUUCUUUGAUUAUCUUGUCAUGUUAUUAAGAACGCAGGGAGUGUGUUCUCACCCGUUCCUAAAGUGCUGUGGAAAUAAACGAGAAAGAGAAUGAGAAGAAGAAAGAAUUGAUGAAGACAAAACACGAAGGAAGGAAGCGAGAGCGAGAAAAAAGGAAUUUUUCGUGAUUUGUGAUACGUUUAGAAAUUUGAAGAAGGAAUAUUUAGAAAAAAAAGUGAAGAAAGAGAGAAACAGAGACUAAAA
rnacentral:lncRNA from 1 species